rnacentral:rRNA from 1 species
GACGAACGCUGGCGGCGUGCUUAACACAUGCAAGUCGAACGGAAAGGCCCUGCUUUUGUGGGGUGCUCGAGUGGCGAACGGGUGAGUAACACGUGAGUAACCUGCCCUUGACUUUGGGAUAACUUCAGGAAACUGGGGCUAAUACCGGAUAGGAUCUCCUGCUGCAUGGUGUGGGUUGGAAAGUUUCGGCGGUUGGGGAUGGACUCGCGGCUUAUCAGCUUGUUGGGGGGGUAGUGGCUUACCAAGGCUUUGACGGGUAGCCGGCCUGAGAGGGUGACCGGCCACAUUGGGACUGAGAUACGGCCCAGACUCCUACGGGAGGCAGCAGUGGAGAAUAUUGCACAAUGGGCGGAAGCCUGAUGCAGCAACGCCGCGUGCGGGAUGACGGCCUUCGGGUUGUAAACCGCUUUCGCCUGUGACGAAGCGUGAGUGACGGUAAUGGGUAAAGAAGCACCGGCUAACUACGUG